GGGGAACGUCCUCACUCCCAACCCCUGUGACAUACCACUUGUUGCCUCGGCGGAUCAGCCCGCUCCCGGUAAAACGGGACGGCCCGCCAGAGGACCCCUAAACUCUGUUUCUAUAUGUAACUUCUGAGUAAAACCAUAAAUAAAUCAAAACUUUCAACAACGGAUCUCUUGGUUCUGGCAUCGAUGAAGAACGCAGCAAAAUGCGAUAAGUAAUGUGAAUUGCAGAAUUCAGUGAAUCAUCGAAUCUUUGAACGCACAUUGCGCCCGCCAGUAUUCUGGCGGGCAUGCCUGUUCGAGCGUCAUUUCAACCCUCAAGCACAGCUUGGUGUUGGGACUCGCGUUAAUUCGCGUUCCUCAAAUUGAUUGGCGGUCACGUCGAGCUUCCAUAGCGUAGUAGUAAAACCCUCGUUACUGGUAAUCGUCGCGGCCACGCCGUUAAACCCCCAACUUCUGAAUGUUGACCUCGGAUCAGGUAGGAAUACCCGCUGAACUUAAGCAUAUCAAUAAGCGGAGGAAGA
rnacentral:rRNA from 1 species